GUCUACAGCCACGCUACCCUGAAGAAGCCAGAUCCCAUCUGAUCUCGGAAGCUAAGGAAGGUCGGGUCUGGUUAGUACUUGGAUGGGAGACCAUCUAAGAAGACCAGGUGCUGAAGGCG
rnacentral:rRNA from 1 species